rnacentral:rRNA from 1 species
UACGUAGGGUGCGAGCGUUAAUCGGAAUUACUGGGCGUAAAGCGUGCGCAGGCGGUUAUGUAAGACAGGUGCGAAAUCCCCGGGCUUAACCUGGGAACUGCAUUUGUGACUGCAUAGCUAGAGUACGGUAGAGGGGGAUGGAAUUCCGCGUGUAGCAGUGAAAUGCGUAGAUAUUGGGAAGAACACCGGUGGCGAAGGCGGCGACCUGGUCCGAUACUGACGCUGAGGCGCGAAAGCGUGGGGAGCAAACAGG